rnacentral:rRNA from 1 species
GCUACGGGUGGCAGCAGUGGGGAAUAUUGCACAAUGGGGGAAACCCUGAUGCAGCGACGCCGCGUGAGUGAAGAAGUAGGUCGGUAUGUAAAGCUCUAUCAGCAGGGAAGAAAUAAAGUCCUGUGGACUUUGGACGGUACCUGACUAAGAAGCCCCGGCAAACUACGUGCCAGCAGCCGCGGGAAUACGUAGGGGGCAAGCGUUAUCCGGAUUUACUGGGGGGAAAGGGAGCGUAGACGGCAGCGCAAGUCUGGAGUGAAAUCCCAUGGCUUAACCCUGGAACUUCUUUGGAAACGGUGCAGCUAGAGUGCAGGAGAGGUAAGCGGAAUUCCUCGUGUAGCGGUGAAAUGCGUAGAUAUUAGGAGGAACCCCAGUGGCGAAGGCGGCUUCCUGGACUGUAACUGACGUUGAGGCUCGAAAGCGUGGGGAGCAAACAGGAUUAGAUACCCCAGUAGUC